rnacentral:rRNA from 1 species
AGUGAACGCUGGCGGUAGGCCUAACACAUGCAAGUCGAACGGCAGCACAGUAAGAGCUUGCUCUUACGGGUGGCGAGUGGCGGACGGGUGAGGAAUACAUCGGAAUCUACUUUUUCGUGGGGGAUAACGUAGGGAAACUUACGCUAAUACCGCAUACGACCUACGGGUGAAAGCAGGGGAUCUUCGGACCUUGCGCGAUUGAAUGAGCCGAUGUCGGAUUAGCUAGUUGGCGGGGUAAAGGCCCACCAAGGCGACGAUCCGUAGCUGGUCUGGGAGGAUGAUCAGCCACACUGGAACUGAGACACGGUCCAGACUCCUACGGGGGGCAGCAGUGGGGAAUAAUGGACAAUGGGCGCAAGCCUGAUCCAGCCAUACCGCGUGGGUGAAGAAGGCCUUCGGGUUGUAAAGCCCUUUUGUUGGGAAAGAAAAGCAGCAGGUUAAUACCCCGCUGUUCUGACGGUACCCAAAGAAUAAGCACCGGCUAACUUCGUG